GGUUUGAUCUGGCUCAGAUUGAACGCUGGCAGGAUGCCCCACGCAAGUCAGACGGCAGCGAACUGGUCUGGUGGCGAGUGGCGAACGGGUGAGUAAUGUGGAACGUGCCCUGUAGCGGGGGAUAACUACGCGAAAGCGUCGCUGACACCGCAUACGCCCUUCGGGGGAAAAGCAGGGGACCUUCGGGCCUCGCACUAUUAGAGCAGCCGAUAUCGGAUUAGCUAGUUGGUGGGGUAACGGCUCACCAAAGGCGACGAUCCGCCAGCUGGUUUGAGAAGGACAAUAAUACUGGGACUGAGACAUUUGAACUCUACCAGGAGGCAGCAGUGGGGAAUUUUGGACAAUGGAAACCCUGAUCCAGCCAUCCCGCGUGUGCGAUGAAGGCCUUCAGGUUGUAAGCACUUUUGGCAGGAAAGAAACGGCACGGGAUAAUGCCCGAUACCUUUGACAAUGCAGAAUAUUAAACGCAGCUAACUACGUGCCAGCAGCCGCGGUAAUACGUAGGGUGCAAGCGACAAUCAAGAUUACUGGGCGUAAAGCGUGUACAGGCGGUUCCAGGGGAAAGAAGCGUCUUGAAAUCCAGAGCUUAACUUUGGAACUGCAUUUUUAACUACCAGCUGAAGUGUGUCAGAGGGAGGUGGAAUUCACGCGUGUAGCAGUGAAAUGCGUAGAUAUGCGGAGGAACACCGAUGGCGAAGGCAGCCUCCUGGGAUACUUACUGACGCUCAUGCACGAAAAGCGUGGGAGCAAACAGGAUUAGAUACCCUGGUAGUCCGCCUAAACGAUGUCAACUGGCUAUUGCGGCGCUUCAGACCUUGUGGCACCAACUAACGCGUGAAGUUGACCGCCUGGGGAGUACGGUCGCAAGAUUAAAACUCAAAAGGAAUUGACGGGGACCCGCACAAGCGGUGGAUGAUGUGGAUUAAUUCGAUGCAACGCGAAAAACCUUACCUACCCUUGACAUGUCUGAGUCCCGAAGAGAUUUGGGAGUGCUCGCAAGAGAACCGGAACACAGGUGCUGCAUGGCUGUCGUCAGCUCGUGUCGUGAGAUGUUGGGUUAAGUCCCGCAACGAGCGCAACCCUUGUCAUUAGUUGCUACGAAAGGGCACUCUAGCCAGACUGCCAGUGACAAACCGGAGGAAGGUGGGGAUGACGUCAAGUCCUCAUGGCCCUUAUGGGUAGAGCUUCACACGUCAUACAAUGGUCGGGACAGAGGGUCGCCAACCGCGAGGGGAGCCAAUCCCAGAAACCCGAUCGUAGUCCGGAUCGCAGUCUGCAACUCGACUGCGUGAAGUCGGAAUCGCUGGCUUAAUCGCGGAUCAGCAUGUCGCGGUGAAUACGUUCCCGGGUCUUGUACGCACCGCCCGUCACACCAUGGGAGUGGGUUUGCCAAGUAGUUAGCCUAACCGUAAGGAGGGCGAUUACCACGGUAGGAUUCAUGACUGGGGUGAAGUCGUAACAAGAUAG
rnacentral:rRNA from 1 species